AGAGCAUAUGCAUUAGAUUAACAGUCAGUCCACCACAGCUACAGUGCUUUAUAUACAGUUCUUUAAUGAAUUCCAGGGAUUUCAGAAGAGUAUAUUUUACAGUGUUAACUUCAGCUUAAUGCUAUUAUAGCAAUUAAUCCUUUUUUAUUCAAGCUUAUGAGAUUUAUGUAAGUUUAGGACCUUAAAGAUAACAUUAUUGUAUUAGCAUAAAUCUACAAAGGAAGGGAUAAGUAGUCAAGAAAAAUCUGGUAAUUCGCUGUCUAUCUAGAUGCUACCACACUGCUCAUCAUUAGCAUGCCCGAGUUCAUCAUUAAGCUAAGUAAAAAGCCUGCUGGACCUUUAUAGACAUGUGACAGUAACUGUGCUGGAAAGAAAAGUCAUGAAUUGUAGUGCAGCAGAACUGCUACCAUCUGUUGAAAGACAACAAAAUGUAAUGGAAGAUAAUGGGAAGGUUCAACCUCUCCUGCCAUACAACCAAUGUCCACCUCAGACAUUGUGGGCCAGCAUAAUAAAAUAGGAGGCACUACUUUUGGAGCAGCCCUCAUGAAAUCAGGCCACCAAGGAUGAUCUCAGCUUCCUGAGACAAAGACAUCGCAGCCCAAGUCUGUAAAGUCUAUAACGUGGCAGACAAGUAAAUGAAGUUUGGGAAUCUCUGUUUAGGAAUCCAAGGCUAAGGAAAAGGAACAGACACAGCCUAUGAAGCUAAAGGAAGAGAAGGAAACCCAAUGUACAUUGACUUGUUGAAGAGGUUUAUGAACAUUAAUGCUCUUUUCUGCUGACUGGCUGCUUAUCCUGAGUUUAAAUCUCAGUCUUUAUUGGGAAGAUAAAGGUUUUCUGGCAGGAUUGGGACUGUUUGCAGAUGGAUCUCUUUUUUCCUUGUUAGACUUAUCAAAAAAACAUUCAUAGUAAACACAGCAAAUUCAUAAAAUAAUGAAGUAGCAGUGAAAGAAAUAAACUUUAAGUGACCACGAGGAAAUAUAGAAAACUGCAUGUCCCUGAUUUUGAGCUGUUAAUUACUCUGGAAUUUUAUUUAUGAAAAUCUGAAAUGUCUUGUAUUCACUUGUGUAUUUUCUCCUUUUUAAAGAUCACAUGGUUACAUACUUGGAUAUUGUUUUUGUUUGACAGGGAUGGAGCUCAGAUUUAUCAGAGAUAUCAGAAAGGGAAAUGGCUUUUUGCCAGAAUAGCCAUUUACUUUAUUGAUGGCUUUUCCCCAAUCUUUAUAAUGCAAUUUUAUUUUUGUUUGAACAUUGAAACUAACUACUGGCACAGAUACUGAUAGGCAAAUUUAAGUCACGCUCCAACAGACUGCAGUAAAAAUAAUGACUGAUCCAUGCUGUUAGAUUUCUGUAGGCCCCAGGCAGAAUCUAAGGCAUUGUCCCCUCCAAGCCAUAUAUGCAUGACUCAUACUGCUCUACAUCUUAUGUAAACUGAGCCCAGCCUUCCUAAGCCUCAGGGCCUGGCCUUGACUGUUCACACAGAAGACUAGCUCUUCCUGGAGUGACAUGAGAGAGUCUAGAAGGGGGAAGGAAAUUUAUGGAAUGGGGGAGAUCUGAGAGACUGCAAGGAUGCAUCCCUAGAAGGAGAGCCAGGAAAUACCUCAUGAAUGUCAGACUGACUUAUUCCUGAAUUCUACAAGGAAUGCCACAAGGGAAAUGACAUGAAUCAUCAAAGGAUUCCUUUAUCCCUCAAUAAGCUCUUCCUUGUCUUAGAAGAAGCCAUAAUAAUAGAAAGCCAUUAUCUCUUCUGAGUGUCCAAGAUAGCUAUAUAUAUAUGUUUUUCUCAAUCAGACAGAAAAAAGAAAAUAGGCAACUUGCAAAAUGAAUAUCAACUCAAAAAUGGAUAAAAACUCAAAAUAUUUAGAAGAAAUUAUGUUGAAAAAGACUCAGGGUUGAGUCUCAGUCUGGAAUA